rnacentral:piRNA from 1 species
CUUCAGAGGUUCGACUGGACACACU